GACGAACGCUGGCAGCGUGCUUAACACAUGCAAGUGGAGCGACGAACCAGGCUUCGGCCUGGGGCAGAGCCGCGAACGGGUGAGUAACACGUGGGUAACGUGCCCCAAUGAUCGGGACAACCCGGGGAAACCCGGGCUAAUACCGAAUGUGCUCCCCUCACACCAGUGAGGGGUGGAAAGGAAGCUUCGGCCUCCGCAUUGGGAUCGGCCCGCGGCCCAUUAGCUUGUUGGUGAGGUAACGGCUCACCAAGGCUGCGAUGGGUAGCUGGUCUGAGAGGACGAUCAGCCACACUGGGACUGAGACACGGCCCAGACUCCUACGGGAGGCAGCAGUGGGGAAUCUUGCGCAAUGCGCGAAAGCGUGACGCAGCAACGCCGCGUGGGGGAAGAAGGCCUUCGGGUUGUAAACCCCUUUCAGGAGGGACGAAGCCCGGGCGGUUAAUAGCCGACCCGGGUGACGGUACCUCCAGAAGAAGCCCCGGCUAACUACGUGCCAGCCGCCGCCGUAAGAC
rnacentral:rRNA from 1 species